AUACGGAGGGAGCGGGCGUUGUCCGGCAUGAUUGGGCGAAAAGGGCGAGUAGGCGGCGUGGGAAGUGUGGAGUGAAAGUCCUGCUUUCCAGGUGGGCAUUGCUUUGGCUACUGCCGCGCUUGAGUGCAGGAGAGGUUAUCGGAAUUCCCGGUGUAGCGGAGAACUGCGUAGAGAUCGGGAGGAAAACCAGUGGAGAAGGCGGGUAACUGGACUGCAACUGACGCUGAGGCGCGAAAGUGUGGGGAGCAAACAGGAUGAGAUACCCUGGUAGUCCACACUGUAAACGAUGAAUGCUAGGUGUAAGAGGUAUCGACCCCUUUUGUGCCGGAGUCAACACAAUAAGCAUCCCGCCUGGGGAGUACGGCCGCAAGGUUGAAACUCAAAGGAAUUGACGGGG
rnacentral:rRNA from 1 species